AUCAUCGAUUUCCUUUUCUAAUAACUCAUUUGCAUUUUUUGGCGAUAUAGUUAAACGUUGUGCAUUUGAAAUUAAUUCUGAUGGACUUUCGUCGUUGUUUAGAGCAUGAACAAUUUUUCUUUUUAUCUCCAGUGGCACAGCUUCAUCGAAAAAAGCAAAAGCACAUAAUUCUGCAGAUAAAUACCAAAAGUGUCCACAAAACUUUUUAACUGCAAUCUGAAAUAUAUGUUUGUCUAUAGAGGUAUAAUGUAAAAGACUUUUUAUAAAAUUCAAGUCUUGUAAUGGCGCUUUGAUUGAAGAUGGUGAGUCUAACCAUACUUUUAUGUAUAAUCGUACAAUAAAAACGCAAACACUUCUCAAAGCGCUUUUUUCUUUCGGUGUUUAAUGAAAUUGUUCGCGAUUUAAAUCGAAUAUUAUUAGGAAGUUUUCCACCCAGAACGAUUACUGUUAAUUCUAGUAACUCUCGGUAAUCAUCUCUUGGGUGAUUUUCCAAAAGUAUAAAUUCCUCACUAUCUACAUCGUCACAUUCGUCAGAACUACGUCGACGACUGUAGUCCUACAGUUUUAUCUGAAAUUAAUUUUAUAUUAUUACACAUUUAUUGAAAUCAAAAUUAAUAUCAUAGACUAAAAACGCACACAAAGCUUCAAG